AAAGCCGCGACCGAGUGGCCCGGUCCGCGCGCGCAGCUCGCGCCCAGCGCUCUCCAGCCGGGGUGGCGGCGGCGGCGGCGGUGGCGGCGGCGGCGGCGGGGGAGGGGUGCGGCGGGGGAGGGGAGGAGGCCUGGCCCCGCGGUCGCAGCCGCCACCGCCCGCCCCGACCGCCCGGACCGCCGCGGGGCCACGGGCCCGAGCCCCGGAUUCGCGCUCCGGAUUCGCCUCGGCUCGGCCGCGCGUAUAUUUGCCUUCCCUCCAUGAUCUCCAACACUAUCCGAUAAAGUAGAAGCAACUGAGGUACCGUGAAAGAGAAAGGAGCUGGAACUGAGAAAAAGCAGAGAAACUGAAAGGCCAAUGUGGGAGACAAAGAAGAGCCUGGAAGAGCCAAAUCUUACCUUCUGGACCAUGCUAAACCGUGUGCUCUACUGGCCCAUCAUCAAGUGGCUGUUCUCCCAACAGCAGCCCAGCCAUGCGGUCUCCCUAAACUUAGCUGUGGGGCUAGAUGCAUUAACCUUAUCCCGAUGUAUGAUUGGAUGUUAUCGUAUCAAGACCAAAUGAUAGAUCCCUUUACUCAGCUCCAAGGUACAGCCAGAUUAACAUUCGGUACAGUAGUAAAACACCUGAGACUCGUCAUAAAUUUAGCCCCAAAGGUUAAAGCUUUAGGAAUUUCUGCCAUGGGUCGCCACGGUUCUGCCACAGGUUGAGGCAGACCAUUGAGACAGGUGCCAGAAUAUUGGGACCACACUGUAUUGUCACUUUGAUAUUUGACUUUUGAGGCUUUUUCAAUUAUUGUUGUGUAUGUGUGUGUGUGCAUGCUAUUUCAGGAGUAGGAGUAGGGGGUUGGGGUAUUUGGAGAACCUGAUGGAAAUUAUAGCACUGUUUUCCAAAAAUAAUACACAUCCACAGACACACACACACACAGAGUAUUUAGAAACAGUUUCAGGAUAGCCAGGUUAGUAAUCCACCUGUGACUUGCCAUAAGGGUAGAAACUUUUUUAUACCGUAACUUAGUCAUUUAUCAUGUACUAUGUUCAUUUACCUUUUCAUGUGUGCAUGUUUUAUCCCAGUGAGUAGGCAAGCUUCCUCCAAGGAACAUAUGCCUCUUUAUGACCCCCAGUAAUAUGUGCAUGUAGGGACCUCACCUGUGGGAAAUCUUGCCAGUUGAGUCCUUUGAAGCUCUGUGAUUAACUGGGGACGGCAGUCUUCCCUUCAGCACUCCACCCUCCACCCACCACCCUCCAGCGCAAAAGAGACUAUCACAAGAGGACUUGGACCCUGCAUUCAUGUUCUGUUUGCUCUCUAGGUUUUAGGCUAAAGCAUUAUUUACAUAAUCCUCAUGCAAAUAUCCACUUGGCUAUUUGGAGAACAAAGCAGUGCCUACUGGAAAGAUUUUUUUUUUAAGUAUUAAUAAAUGAAUGCAUUACAUUAUUUUUAAAAAUUGUGAUGUCUUUAUCCCUUUGUCAGCUCCAUACCUUGCCCUAUACACUCCCAUACCUGUAAUCAGGACCCCCUUUUUGUUCUAUCCCAUGAAUUCCUAACUGUACUCCUUUCCUGCCAUGUGCUUGUGAGGGGAAAAAAAAAAAAAAAAAAGCGGGCAUAAACCUAAUGCUA